UACGGAGGGGCUAGCGUUGUUCGGAAUUACUGGGCGUAAAGCGCGCGUAGGCGGCUUUGUAAGUCAGAGGUGAAAGCCUGGAGCUCAACUCCAGAACUGCCUUUGAAACUACAUCGCUAGAAUCAUGGAGAGGUUAGUGGAAUUCCGAGUGUAGAGGUGAAAUUCGUAGAUAUUCGGAAGAACACCAGUGGCGAAGGCGACUACCUGGCCUGUUCUUGACGCUGAGGCGCGAAAGCUAGGGGAGCAAACGGG
rnacentral:rRNA from 1 species